AUCCAGGGACGAGUCCCAAAUAAGACGAAAAGCGCAUCCUGGAU
rfam:Trichobilharzia regenti genome assembly, scaffold: TRE_scaffold0010705